rnacentral:rRNA from 1 species
ACGGGAGGCAGCAGUGGGGAAUAUUGGACAAUGGGGGAAACCCUGAUCCAGCGACGCCGCGUGAGUGAAGAAGUAUUUCGGUAUGUAAAGCUCUAUCAGCAAGGAAGAAAAUGACGGUACUUGACUAAGAAGCUCCGGCUAAAUACGUGCCAGCAGCCGCGGUAAUACGUAUGGUGCAAGCGUUAUCCGGAUUUACUGGGUGUAAAGGGAGCGUAGACGGCAUAGCAAGCCAGAUGUGAAAGGUGGGGGCUCAACCCCCAAGCUGCAUUUGGAACUGUUAAGCUAGAGUAUCGGAGAGGUAAGUGGAAUUCCUAGUGUAGCGGUGAAAUGCGUAGAUAUUAGGAGGAACACCAGUGGCGAAGGCGGCUUACUGGACGAUAACUGACGUUGAGGCUCGAAAGCGUGGGGAGCAAACAGGAUUAGAUACCCUGGUA